AUCCAGCUGACGAGUCCCAAAAACGACGAAGCGUGCGUCCUCGAU
rfam:Schistosoma haematobium scaffold2537_3, whole genome shotgun sequence.